AGUUCACUGGUAGAGCAUCUGCUUUGCAUGCAGAAGGUCCCAGGUUCAAUCCCUGC
rnacentral:tRNA from 1 species